UGAGCAAAUGAUCUUUGUUGUCAAGGAAACCAAACAUAAAAAUACACAAAAAGAAGAACAAUAAAGAGAAUAUAUAAUAAUAAAUACCUAUCACGAUGACCAAAAGUACCUGAGGAGAAAGGAGAGAUCCGUCACUAUUCCACUGAAAGCGGAAUUGUCUGUACGAUCCCCACUCUCAAAACUAAGUAUAUGGUGUAAUGCAUAUGCGUUUCACCCUGACCCAGUAUCCAACAGCAUCAUUCGAAGUGCCUUUUUAUGCCUGUCAUGGAGACCAUAUGUUUAUGGUGUAUUUAAUAAAGCUGAAUCAUUUAUUUUUUGGUUGUGCUCCUCACUCUAUCACAUAUGCCCUCUACUCGGUCUGACAGGAAGUGCGUGAGAAAUUAU